rnacentral:rRNA from 1 species
UACGGGGGGGGCAAGCGUUGUUCGGAUUCACUGGGCGUAAAGGGUGCGCAGGUGGGCUGGCAAGUUCGAUGUGAAAGCCCCGGGCUUAACCCGGGAAUGGCAUUGGAAACUGCCGGUCUGGAGGGUUGGAGGGGGGACUGGAAUUCUUGGUGUAGCAGUGAAAUGCGUAGAUAUCAAGAGGAACACCAGUGGCGAAGGCGAGUCCCUGGACAAACCCUGACACUGAGGCACGAAAGCCAAGGGAGCAAACAGG